rnacentral:rRNA from 1 species
UACGUAGGCAGCAAGCGUUGUUCGGAAUUACUGGGCGUAAAGAGUGUGUAGGCGGUGCUCUAAGUUCGGUGUGAAAUCUCCCGGCUCAACUGGGAGGGUGCGCUGAAAACUGGGGUGCUCGAGGGCGGGAGAGGUAAGCGGAAUUCCUGGUGUAGCGGUGAAAUGCGUAGAUAUCAGGAGGAACAUCGAUGGCGAAGGCAGCCCCUUGGACCUGUACUGACGCUCAUGCACGAAAGCGUGGGGAGCAAACAGG